UACGAAGGGGGCUAGCGUUGCUCGGAAUCACUGGGCGUAAAGGGUGCGUAGGCGGGUUUUUAAGUCAGGGGUGAAAUCCUGGAGCUCAACUCCAGAACUGCCUUUGAUACUGAGGAUCUCGAGUCCGGGAGAGGUGAGUGGAACUCCGAGUGUAGAGGUGAAAUUCGUAGAUAUUCGGAAGAACACCAGUGGCGAAGGCGGCUCACUGGCCCGGUACUGACGCUGAGGUGCGAAAGCGUGGGGAGCAAACAGG
rnacentral:rRNA from 1 species